rnacentral:tRNA from 3 species
CUCAGUUGGUAGAGCACGACCUUGCCAAGGUCGGGGUCGCGAGUUCGAGUCUCGUUUCCCGCUCCA